UGGGUUUUGAUAGCUGGCUUUGCUGGGCCCCAUGACUCUGAGGAAGUCCUGGGUACAGAAGAGGCGGGGAAUUAGGACUUGACCCUUUUGCUGAACUCAGUCUGGGGAAGUCUGAGUUCCCAAGUGUAGAGCAUGGCUGCUGAUCACUCAGGGUCCAUGAUAUCUUGAGAGCCAGAGGUGGAGGGCAGUGGAGGCUGGAGCCUAGAGUGGCUGUGUGACCUCAGGCCAAGGCCUUCCUUUUUUGGAGCUUGUGCUCCGGGCAGAGAAUAAGAGCCUUUAGCCCCCUGGAUUCUGAGAGGUGGGAUGUAACUUGAAUCCCUCUCUGGGAAGGCAGAGGAGCAGAUGACCUUGUUCUGGAAACUGUGGAUUCACAAGAGGAACACAGCUCAAAGGAUUGAGCCAGUCUGAGACAGGAAGUGGUUUCAGGGUGCUGCCUGGGGCUCUCUGUCUGCCAGGAUACAAGUGGUGUCUGAAACCAGGGACAGAGUAUGGGGGCAGGGCUGGUUGGGAGAAUUAGAAAGCAGCUUUUUGUUCUCACUGCCUCAGAGCUGGGUUCCUCCCCAAGGGUUGGUGACUCUCAUAACCCUACUGCUUUGAGGAUCACAGUCUGGUCUGAAUAGUGGGAACUCAGGCCUUGGACUGGGAACUAGGCGCAUCCAGGAAGCUCAAGCUUCAUUUCAUGCCUCCUAACCCCUGUGUUGUUAGAGGCCCAGAGGCUGGGGCCGGAAGUGAUCAUGAAGAUGGAAAAUGUGGUCUGGCCUUUUGGUGCAUCACUGCCGUGUCUAUUUGCAGCCAGUGCACACUGCACCCACCACCUCCUGCCUGGAGGAGGCUGAAAAAAGCUGAGUUUGCAGUCUGUGGAGGAGGAGCCAAGAAGAGCUUACCUUCCCCCAAGACUCAGGCUGGGGAGGAAAGGGGUAUGUGGGAUCAAUCUUGAGUCAGCCCUGGUGCCCCCUCAGUGAUUAAGCAAAGCCACCUCCUCCAAGACCUGAGAGUUUGAGAUUACCGUCCCAUUUCAUAUGGGAGAAACCUGAGAUUCAAAAGUAGAAAGUCACUUGCCUGAAGUACCAUAGGGUGGAGCUGGGACUAGAACACAACCCUGUGUGUCCCAGACGUUCAGCUAGAAGGACUAAGCCCUGUCUCUUAUAUGACAGAUAAGGAAACAAAGGCUCAGAGUGGGCCAAGGCAAAGCCUACAGUUGCACUCUAGACUCUGGCCUCUUCUCCCCUGGCUCUCUGCCCCUCUCUCCCACAGUGAUGUUCGCUUUGUGGUUGGUCAAGAACAGCAGGAGGUGUUUGCCCACCGGUGCUUGUUGGCCUGUAGAUGCAACUUUUUCCAGCGACUUCUGGGCCAGGAGUCAGGCCCUGGGGUGCCUAGUCCUGUGGUGCUAAGCACUGUGCCAGCUGAGGCCUUCCUGUCAGUGCUGGAGUUCUUGUAUACCAACAGUGUCAAGCUGCAACGCCACUCUGUGCUGGAGGUGCUGACAGCAGCUGUGGAGUAUGGGCUGGAGGAAUUGAGAGAGCUAUGCCUGGAGUUUGUGGUGAAGAUGCUGGAUGUGGAGCUGGUUUGUGAGGCCCUGCAGGUGGCCGUAACCUUUGGCCUGGGACCAUUGCAGGAGCGUUGCAUAGCCUUCAUAGAGGCCCAUAGCCAGGAGGUGCUCCGGACCCGCGGCUUCCUGGAACUGUCGGCGCCUGCGUUGCUGCCCCUGUUGAGCAGUGACAACCUCUGCGUAGACGAGGCUGAACUUGUCCUGGCGGCCCGGAGCUGGGCGCGCGUGGGCGCUGCCGUGCUGGAGCGACCUGUGGCCGAGGUAGCGGCACCGGUGGUGCGGGAGCUGAGACUGGCUUUGCUGGCCCCGGCGGAGCUGAGCGCCCUGGAAGAGCAGAACCGGCGGGAGCCGCUCAUCCCGUUUCAGGAUCUUUCCCCGGUUCUGACACCAUCGUGUUUCUCAUCGUGGGUGCCCAAGCCAGAAACCUGAAUCUCAUCCUGGCCUCAUUCCUCUUCCUCACAGCUGCCUUCUGUGGCUUCUACCUUCUAAGAGACUGAAGGUAGCAGAAUAUGCCAUGUCAAAAUAUGUCUUUUGGGCAUAAGGAUUAUUUUAAGCUGAUUAUUUUGAGAAGCAGGAGAAGCUCUGAAAACAUUACAAGUUACCCUUUUGGGUCUCAGCCCAGAGCUCAGAGUAGAGGAAAAACUAUUUUUUCUCCCCGGCAAGAUCUUUACAAUUAAUUCAGCUCUCUCAGCCUCAGUUCUGCCCAUCCUAUAUGUGGCAGGACUUACUGCUACAGAUGCUAAUUAGUCUUCCCGCCUUCACUCGAGCACCCCUCAUCAUCCCCCCCACGCUAAUCCACUUCCCACACUGCAGCUACCAUCGAUUUAGCUAAGAUUGUCAGACCUACUCCCCUUAUAAAGCCCCUCAACAUCCUCAUUGCACUGAAAGUGAAAUAUAAUCUCUUUCACUUUCAGGGCCUUAAAAUUACUCCAAAUAUUAGCAGCUCUUCUCUCAACAACUAUCUUUGCAGGAAUUCACUGGUCCUGCAGGCACUAGUCCUCUAGGUCUGGAUUUACUCUCUUGGUUAUUGAAGACUCUCUACGCUACCUCUUUCAUUCAUUACACAUUUUUGUCUUCCUGAGGCUUUGAAUCUCCCUGGAGAAAGAUCCCUGGGGACUUAUUCAUUUCUGCUUCCUCAGUCCCUGUCACAUAAUCAGUGCUCUGUAAGUGUUCAGUGAUGACUUUAUUUCCUUAUUUAAAUGCUAUUUUAUUCCAUGAAGAGUUUUAAAAAGCUGUAAAACAAAAUACUGUCAAUCUAAAACGAGGGACGAUCGACCAUUUGGAAGAAAAUAAAAUCAGACUUCUGUCUCAGGGAUUUUAUGCAAAAAUACGUUACACAUGGUUAAAAAUAAUUAUUUGGUAUUAUCUCUCAAGGCGGAAAAUGUGGUUACCUGCAGUCCCACUUCCUGCCAGCAUCAUUUGGAUAAUGAAAAUUGAAAAUAAGGUACAUGUCCUAGACGAUUGGUUUAACCUAGAAGACUGGUUAAAUUAACUAUGGUGUCAUGCAGGGUGUCACACGGGGUCUCUGGUCCCACUCCCCACAUAAGAACGCAGUAU